rnacentral:sRNA from 1 species
GCACUGGCAAAAUCCAGCGCUCGGGAUUGGCAUCUCGGAAAACUAAGGCUCAAAGAGCCGCUUAUAGCGGUUUUUUU